CUUAAGCCUAAAAGCCUUGUUAAAAUGAACCACUGGCCCAGUGAGCCGGGGAGGAGAUGGAAGCAACCAGGAGCAGAGCUCUGCAGGGGGAUCCUGCCCUUGGCCUCUGCACCCACCUCACAGGUCCUGGAGCCGCAGGUGCAUGCAAGCGAAGGCAACUGGAAACAAAGACUGCAGCCUUUAUCUCCAGGAUGGGCUUGGAAAGCUGUGACAGAAGGCAGCUCAGGAAUGAUUUCAGGUAACUGACUCCACAUGAGCUCUCAUUCAACAGCAUGCUGAAAGCAUCCAACAUCUUCCUUGAAUAUAUAACAAGAGAAUAUCAAACAAAGGCAGGGGAGCAUCUCGACUCUUCACAUUACUGUUGAAAUGAUUACUGUGGAUGUUAUUGGCAACUUGGAUGUCUAGAAUUAAAAAGGUCACCAAAGUUCAGGAAAGGAAAGCCAUAGACACUAUCCAGGCAUCAGAAAACAAGCUGUGGUACAAGAGUGGAAUGGCAUAAACUGCUCAAUUUGCUGGAAAGAAGACUGAGGGGUGCUCCAGCCUCAGUGAGAAAUGUUCCUGACAGUUCAGCAGUCUCCACCUCAGAGAGGAGCAGCAAGAUCUGAAGGCUGAAGCAGCAGUUAGAAAAAUUCAGUGUGGAAAGGAAAAACAAGAUGCUAGCAGGAGGGCGGGAGAUGUUGGAUCAGCUACCCAGAAGGCAGCAGUUUUACCUAUUUUACAACCAAUUCCUGUAUGUGAGACAGGAUGUUGAGUACAGCUCAGCAGGGCUGGGCAGCUCUCAGGAAUCGGGGUUGGAUGCCCUGUGGAGGCAUCACCCUGUGCUAAGCUGAGUCUUGAGCCCAGAGCAGCACACUUUGUGAGUGCCCCUAGCCAAGCGCCUCUGCAAGGAUCCUGCACCUCUCUGAAGUGUCUCAUUUGGGGAAAAAAUUGCUGUGGAAAUAAAGCAAUGUCUCUUCCUUAGUGAU